GGCCGGCGUGGCCGAGUUCGACGCCAGCCGGCUGCUGCCCGGCGACGCCGCGCGCUGGCAGGGGCCGCUCGCGGUGCUGUCCACGGCCUGCUC
rnacentral:tRNA from 1 species